CAGGGUUCGUAAGUGUGCCAGCUUUGAGACGCCCAUCAUGCGCACCAGACGGUUACAGGCCACAGACAGCUGUGAACAGAGAGCCGGUCACACACACACACACACACAUCAAGAGCUGGUCACACACACACACACACACACACACAUCAGUGCUGAACGCAGGGUUAGGUCAGUGUGAACCUGACUGACCUGCUGCAGAUCCUCGUUGUGCUCCAGGUGCUCCAGCUU